GUGUGUACACAUGAAGAUUUGAACAUUUGGAGUGACUUGAAGUGGAACCACUAUCAGAAUUGAACCAUAAAGGAGUGAUCACUUUUGAAUGGAGUGUUUUUCUCCCACCUGAGUGGGGUUUUUUUUUUCUCACCUUUGUGUGUUUUUAUGGAGUGACACCUAACCUAAAGUGGUAAUUUCCUACGGAUCUGGGGUAACCACCAGUUGGCAACGGACAAUUAUUUGUUGUUGGAGUAAAUGAGUUUUGGGAUUUCCAGCAAGGGUUCCUGGUUUUGAACCUUUACCAUGGCAGUGCCACUACAUAACCGUUUCCAGGCUCUAGUUAGUUUAAAUGAUGAGGGGAUGGUAAGACAGGUGAACAAAUUGGCGGCCUUUAUUAAACCCUCCUCGCCUAACCAACAGACCCUGGCAAAGGCCCAUUCCAGUUAUGCGGCUGCGGUGACCAGCAAGUCACCAACUGGUAGGGUCUCAAUGGGAGCCCAGGCCCACAGGGACUUUGGAAUA